CUCCGUAUAGCUCAACUUGGUUAGAGCGCUUGUCUGGGGGGCAAGAGGCUGCAGGUUCAAAUCCUGCUAUGGAGACCA
rnacentral:tRNA from 1 species